AUGUACAGUAAACACAGGCAGAAAAAAAAUGCCCACACAUCACCGGCGAAAUGCGGACGUCUGCUGCUUUUCCUCUCCCUCCUGCUGCUGAGCGGCUCCGCGGAGAGAGCCGGCGGACGGCCCGGGCGCGAAGGGCUAAGGACGGGAAGGACGGUGACGGCGCAGUGGCUUUCUCAAGGCCGAAUCAAGAGGGAGGCGGAGACCUUGACACAGGUAGAGUACCCAGUCAGAGGGGAAAUAGCGCUCUCAUCCAAUGACCUCCAACUGGUGCUUCAAGUGGAACAUAAUCACACCUUAGCCCCUGCUACCCUGUUGACAACUAGCCUGAACCUAACCUGGCAGCUUCAAUCAAGCUUGAUUGCCUGAGUUGCAGACGUGGACACACUGAGCAGAGCUGUGUCGUUGUGCUUCAGCACAAAGGUCAUUCGUCAUAUAACCAGGUAAUCACUGUGGGCGCACACUUUACCCAGUGCUUGCUAAGAUUCAAGGUU
rnacentral:lncRNA from 1 species